GUGGAUACCUCAGAGCCAUCAUCCGCUUCUUUGCCAAAGAGUUGCAUGAUACAUGAACGGAACUGAUGAGGAAAAAAUAAAACGGCUACCUGACUCGCACAUUUGACAAGAACUCCAUGUCGGACAAGGACUGCACAUCAAGAAGAGGAUGGAUCCUGAAACUAAAGAAAUCUGUAAACUUUUCUUCUUUUUUCCUUUAUUUCCCAAUAUGUCUUAAAUAAUAUUAGUGCAUAACUGAAUUUCUAUUAUUGUUUACGAAGUAAUACUGAUAAGUAAUGUCUUUGGGGAGAGUGUUUUGCUUUCUGUAUCUUAAUAUAUAUUUACAUGGAUGCUGUGAUGUUUCGAUAGGUAGGUCUGGAAUAAUGGACUUAUUGCCAUUGUGGUCCUUAUAAGGGCAGGGGGAGAGGAGUGUAGGUGUAGGUGUAGUGAGGUAGUGUUUUGAGGCCGUAAGGGCCGGUCUGAUAAUAGUUAUACAUUGCAAGUUCUUAGCAACACCAUCCGGUGGCUGCCCGUUGGUCAAACUGUGCAGCCUCCGCUCAACCCGUACGGCGGGCCGCAGCAGCCACUUAUUUCAAUACCUACUUAAACACAGGCUAAUCAGAAAGCACUAACGAAAUGCUGAUCACAACCAUGUCUAGGAUUUUUAGAAAUAUAGAGGCGAUCAGUGAGCGGCCCCUCCCCAAAUGGCCUAGCCCUGGUCGGCCUAUGACGUAAAGCCAUCGGACCUCUUUUUUUUCCUCGUCACGUUUGGAAGUGUGGUAGCCUAAAGUUAACAGACAGUGUGUGAGUCUAAUGAUGGAAAGCCAAAAAAGAAAAGGGAAAGGUAGCCCUAAGAAGGUCAGACUCAAAAGGAAAAAAAUAUUAUGGAGGAGGAGGCAGCGAAAUGCUCCAAAAUAACGGACAUGUUCCGGGCAACAGUAAAGAUACUACAGGUGCAAUAAGAUAACUUUGCUAAGCACCUACACUCACCUAAAGGAUUAUGAGGAACGCCUGUUAAAUUGAUCGUUAAUGCAAUUAUCUAAUCAACCAAUCGGCAGCUGCUUUAAUGCAUUUAGGGGUGUGCACCUAAUGUCACAGCUAAGCACAGAUGGGAAUUAGCACCAGCUACCAGCCAGCCAAAAGCUUGUGAAAUUUGAAAGUAGUUUGUGGUAAAUAGCAGGUAAAACACAUUAUUAAAACACAAAUAUUGCCUUAUGAUAACAUAAUGACUAUUGAAACGAAUUGGAAGUCAAUAAUGACUAAUCCAAUGCUGAAAUUAAUGUUCGAAUUUUUUUUAUUAAUGUUUUGGCCAACUUAAGCAACAUCUCCCUUCUCACAUGUAACAACGAAAUGCUUUUGUCACGAUUUUCUAUUUGAUUUUAUUGGUUUGCACACAUUCAUAGAAAACAAUACAUCACAAACAUGCCCGGAUUAUCCAUAAGGGCACUUGGGCCAGUGCCCAGGGGCACCAACCAUUCACAACCAGUGGGGGGGGCACCACAUGACACAAGCUUUAACAAUGUUUUCUGUAAAUUGUUAUAUUAUUCAAUUGAAAUUGUUGAAAGACCAUACAUUACUCAUUUAUGAACACUAAUUUAUUAAUAAUAAUAAUAAUAAUAAUAAUAAUAAUAAUAAUAAUAAUAAAUAAAUAAAUCAAUAUUACAUGACAACUAUCACUCCCCUCCCCAAUCUGUCAGAGUAGAGUUGGUCCACAAGUACCUGCAAAUGUAUCAUCUGAGGGAUGGGGGGGGGGGGUUAACAAUAAUCAAAAGUGGACAGUUUAACCCCCCCAGUUUAUCAUAAUGAUGAAUGUAAUAAACAAUGAUAAGUGGUUGGCUUUCUUGAUUCAAUGUAAUUGGCAAGCAAAUAAAACCAUUUUUCACACAAACCCCCCCACCUAUGGGUGAGACUUGGUUGCGCCCAACCCUUCUCGUAUUUCAGCACGGUGCGCUUUGUGAGUUAAUUCAGUAAGCAGAGAAGUAUAAAAGACCGGUCCGCUGACAGUCUGCGCUUCUUUUCCUAGAACUCGUAUUUCUUUCAGAAGACUUUGUGCAAUAUAUCCAUAUUCUUAGAUCUAAUAGGCCUAUUGAUAAUCUUUUGUCUAUAUCUUAUUCGUUAGCUGUGAUGCUAAAGCAGUUUUACCUUUCCCAUGAUGCUUUUGAAAGUUUUGCCCAAUCAGAGGAGUUGCUUUCAGGGCCCGUGAAAUAAAGUCGGAAAAAUACAGAUUUGACCGACCCACAAUGCUGCAAUAUAUAGUAUUGAUUUUGGCUUUUUGAAUUGAUAGACAUUUUGAAUAAGUUAGUAAAUUACAUUUGAGAAAUCCCCUUGAUUAUGUCUGAUGUUCUUGGCAGGGGGAAAGCAAUAGUUGGUUUCUCUUGGCAUAAUGAAAAUGCUUUGUUUUUUUUUGCUUGACUGCUGGGCUGAUGUACUGAUGUGUAUUGAUUUUUACAUUUUGAAUUGAGACAUUUGAAUAUAGUGCUCACUGCUCAUAUGCCUACAUGUAUGUAGUUGGACAAGUUAGUAAAUUACAUUUGAGAAAU